GCAUAAAUGUGGUUAUAAAAUUAUUUAUUGAGUUUAAAAUGAAAUGUGGGUAAAAAAAUUGCAAACACUGGGUAAUAAUUUUGCCCUAUAUAAAGGAGAGGUUUCUUGUUGGAGACAUCAUCUAAUCGAAAGCAUUUAGUUCUAUCUAAGCUCCACUUUUCAAAACAACCUCCAAGAUGUCCGUCAUGAAAAGCGUUUUCUUGAUGCUCUCCAUCUCCGCCAUGAUGAGCAUGGCAUUCGCAAAUGUCUUUGACAAAAUUGAGGAUGGAUUGAAUGGCGCAAUCAAAGCUACUGGCUUGUAAAGCUGCUGUGUCCGAUGGAGGUGACCAAUGUAAUGCAGUGUGGGCUUCAAGCAAAAAUAAAUAUUUAAUUCUGCAAUA